AGUGAAUAGAUACCCAGGUAGUCCCAGCUGUAAACGAUGCGCGUUAGGUGUAUCGGUGACCACGAGUCAUCGAGGUGCCGAAGAGAAAUCGUGAAACGUGCCGCCUGGGAAGUACGGUCGCAAGGCUGAAACUUAAAGGAAUUGGCGGGGGAGCACCACAACAGGUGGAGCCUGCGGUUUAAUCGGACUCAACGCCGGAAAUCUCACCGGAUAAGACAGCUGGAUGAUAGUCGGGCUGAAGACUCUACUUGACUAGCUGAGAGGAGGUGCAUGGCCGUCGUCAGUUCGUACUGUGAAGCAUCCUGUUAAGUCAGGCAACGAGCGAGACCCACGCCAACAGUUGCCAGCUCGUCCUCCGGGAUGGUGGGGACACUGUUGGGACCGCCUCUGCUAAAGAGGAGGAAGGAAUGGGCAACGGUAGGUCAGCAUG
rnacentral:rRNA from 1 species